rnacentral:rRNA from 1 species
GGUAGAUAGGUUCGAGGUGGAAGUGUGGUGACACAUGGAGCUGACGAAUACUAAUCGAUCGAGGACUUAACCAAAA